CCUGAUCCAGCAACGCCGCGUGAGGGAUGACGGCCUUCGGGUUGUAAACCUCUUUCAGCAGGGACGAAGCGAGAGUGACGGUACCUGCAGAAGAAGGACCGGCCAACUACGUGCCAGCAGCCGCGGUAAUACGUAGGGUCCGAGCGUUGUCCGGAAUUAUUGGGCGUAAAGGGCUCGUAGGCGGUUUGUCGCGUCGGGAGUGAAAACUCAGGGCUCAACCCUGAGCGUGCUUCCGAUACGGGCAGACUAGAGGUAUUCAGGGGAGAACGGAAUUCCUGGUGUAGCGGUGGAAUGCGCAGAUAUCAGGAGGAACACCGGUGGCGAAGGCGGUUCUCUGGGAAUUACCUGACGCUGAGGAGCGAAAGCAUGGGGAGCGAACAGGAUUAGAUACCCUGGUAGUCCAUGCCGUAAACGUUGGGCGCUAGGUGUGGGGACCUUCCACGGUUUCCGUGCCGCAGCUAACGCAUUAAGCGCCCCGCCUGGGGAGUACGGCCGCAAGGCUAAAACUCAAAGGAAUUGACGGGGGCCCGCACAAGCGGCGGAGCAUGCUGAUUAAUUCGAUGCAACGCGAAGAACCUUACCUGGGUUUGACAUAUGCCGGAAAGCUGCAGAGAUGU
rnacentral:rRNA from 1 species